GCUUUUUUCAAACCAGCUUCUACUUCGGUUACACAUUGAUGUUCUGCCUUGGAUUGGGAAUUCUUUGCGGAGCUGUUGGUUACCUGGGAUCCAAUUUGUUCGUACGGAGGAUCUAUAGAAACAUCAAAUGUGAUUAAGGGUUUUGUAGAAGCAAAAAACCUACGCUACCUUGAAGCAUUUUGAUAGUGGAGGCAAUAACUUCGAGAAGCUCUUGACACAUAGGGAAGGAGGGAGGGAGGAGGCCUAGCAACGCAGUAAUACCUGUAGAAAUUAAAGUUUUGAGAUGGGGACAUGCUCUUGUAUUCUUUUUGGUAAUUGAUGUGUCUUCCCCCACAACUGUAAUUGAAUAUCUUGAUUUAGAAUUUGAGAGAUUGUUUUUCAUAAUGUAGAAAAGAUGACAAAAUUGUUAGACUCAUGUUAUUUUUAUGAUAUUUUGUCAUUCACACAUCAGUGAGACAAGUGGCCCAUGCCUAUUUCUAUACUAUAGUUUUAUCAUACGAUGGUUGUAUCCCUGUCUUAGAAGGUAGUUGAAGACUGGUAUUUAAGUAUUA